UGUAGCUGACUCCGAAAUGAGAUUUCUGUUCUGAGGCUGAUCCUGCUGGAGGUGGUGGCUCCACUGCCGCCUUCCCCUGGAAGCUCCAGGACCCCUCCUCCAUGGGCGUUGACUACUCAGAGUCUUCACAAGUGACCGCAGGCCACUGUCUCCCAGCUCUGGGGGCUGCUCCCAUGGAGGCUUCUCCCGCGGCACAGGCCCGCCCAGGGCCAGAAGCCGGAGCUGAGCAGGCCACACCUCCGAUCUCCUUCUCACCGCUCAGGCUGUCUUCAGCAUAAAAUCCAGCUCCAUAGCAAGAUGGGGCCUUCUGCUCCCCUUUCCCGCGCCGAGGACUUGGGUUCCAGCCACCUGGACCGCCUGGGCUGCCCCCUUGCAGCAGCCUACCGUCCAUCCCGGAGCUGCUCACCAGCUAGAGCCACGGCCUGGUGGUGUCACCCCCGGCGUCUGUGGUCUCUGGGACCUGGCCUCUGAAUGUGCCCGCCCCUCGGGGCUGAGGGAGAAACGCUGAGCGCACAGCCAGGGUGGAUAGGACAGAAGACCUCCCUCGGAGGGACCCUGUUGUCCUUUCCUAUGUCCCUGCUUGGCUACCUUGUCCUGUAAGACGCGGACAGCUCCUGUUCCAGAGCCUUCCCUGACUGGGCUGGGCACUUCCGCUGGGCUCCCUCGCCCCUCUGCUGCCCACUCCCCUUGCACAGCGCAGCCCUCACCUGUGUGCACAGAAUCAUGCGUCCUCCAGGCAGGGCCUGUGGCGCCCUCUUUUGUGUCCCAGAAGCCACCUGGAGCCCACCGGGGCUGGCAUUCAGCCUCCCCAUAGCCACCCACCCAGGCUCCUG
rnacentral:lncRNA from 1 species